GGGUUUUUGUUCUUACAUUUCUGCCUUAGCUCACAGAUCUUCGAGUUGACAUGGUAUCAAACAAGAAAAUAUGACUCCUCUUAUCCCGAGCUUCACUCCGAUCUUACCCUCUCUCUGAGUUUCCAUUGAUUCGAUCUUCGAUUUAUCCAGAAUAACAAAAAUGUCGAACUAUAUUUUCCACCGGUAAUUAUUGGGGAUUUCAUCAUCGGUUGACUCCUAGUACCUUCAUGAUGCAGAACAUAUCGAAUUUUCUCAAUCUCCGCACAUGAUUUGGUUAAAUAUGUUUCCUAGGGUUUAUGCUUCAGAGAAGACUUUUCUUCUUCGAGUUUCAGAAGAAGGCUGGUAAUUUCCUUCUCAUUAAAUGGCUUAGAUUUGAAUACAUGUCUUGACCUAUGUUCAGAAAAACUUCUUCUUUUGUUGCGCUGUAGAUAUUAUUGCAUAUAUUUGUUCUGAUUCAAUUUAGUUGAGUUUCAUGUUAUGGAUAGCAUUAUGGAUAAUCUAGGAUCACCUAGUAACAUAUCUUAUGAUGGUAUCAUACCUUUUACACUAUUUCCAUCUAAUGCACUGUAUGUUCACCCUUCUGAUAGUCAUGGUAGUCAAUUGGUAGUUGUACCUUUCAAUAGGCGUGGUUUUGUUCUUUGGAGAAGUAGUAUUCUUACUUCUCUAUCUGCAAAGAACUAAGUUAGGGCUUUUAGAGGGUAGAGAUCCCCAACCCUCAUUAGACUCCCCUUAUUAUUCGUACUGGGAAGAGGUGCAAUGACAUGGUUAAGGCAUCGAUCACUAACUUUCUGUCUUGGGAUAUUGCAACAGGUGUCAGGUGUCUUAAGACUCUCAGGGAAUUUUAGAAAGAUAUUAACGAUAGAU
rnacentral:lncRNA from 1 species